rnacentral:rRNA from 1 species
CUGCUGCCUCCCGUAGGAGUCUGGUCCGUGUCUCAGUACCAGUGUGGGGGACCUUCCUCUCAGAACCCCUACGCAUCGUCGGUUAGGUGGGCCGUUACCCCGCCUACUGCCUAAUGCGCCGCAUGCCCAUCCCUGUCCGGCCGAAGCCUUUCCUGCCUCCGGGAUGCCCCGGUGGCAUGUACGCGGGUUUAGCCUCCCUUUCGGAAGGUUGUCCCCCUGAAGAGGGCAGGUUGCAUACGUGUUACUCACCCGUGCGCCGGUCGCCGGCAAGGAAAG